GAUGAACGCUGGCGGCGUGCCUAAUACAUGCAAGUCGAGCGAACGGACGAGAAGCUUGCUUCUCUGAUGUUAGCGGCGGACGGGUGAGUAACACGUGGAUAACCUACCUAUAAGACUGGGAUAACUUCGGGAAACCGGAGCUAAUACCGGAUAAUAUUUUGAACCGCAUGGUUCAAAAGUGAAAGACGGUCUCGCUGUCACUUAUAGAUGGAUCCGCGCUGCAUUAGCUAGUUGGUAAGGUAACGGCUUACCAAGGCAACGAUGCAUAGCCGACCUGAGAGGGUGAUCGGCCACACUGGAACUGAGACACGGUCCAGACUCCUACGGGAGGCAGCAGUAGGGAAUCUUCCGCAAUGGGCGAAAGCCUGACGGAGCAACGCCGCGUGAGUGAUGAAGGUCUUCGGAUCGUAAAACUCUGUUAUUAGGGAAGAGCAUAUGUGUAAGUAACUGUGCACAUCUUGACGGUACCUAAUCAGAAAGCCACGGCUAACUACGUG
rnacentral:rRNA from 1 species